rnacentral:rRNA from 1 species
GACGAACGCUGGCGGCGUGCCUAACACAUGCAAGUCGAGCGGGGUUGAAGCGAGGGGUAACUCGAGUUUCUACCUAGCGGCGGACGGGUGAGUAACGCGUGGGCAACCUGCCUCAAGGACUGGGAUAACAGCUCGAAAGGGCUGCUAAUACCGGAUAUGCCUGUGGCCUCGCAUGGGGCUAUGAGCAAAGGGGAAACCCGCCUUGAGAUGGGCCCGCGUCCCAUCAGCUAGUUGGUGAGGUGAAGGCUCACCAAGGCGACGACGGGUAGCCGGCCUGAGAGGGUGACCGGCCACACUGGGACUGAGACACGGCCCAGACUCCUACGGGGGGCAGCAGUGGGGAAUCUUGCACAAUGGGCGAAAGCCUGAUGCAGCGACGCCGCGUGAGCGAAGAAGGCCUCGGGUUGUAAGCUCUGUCUGGAGGGACGAAGGAAGGUGACGGUACCGUCCGGAGGAAGGCCACGGCUAACUACGUGCCAGCAGCCGCGGUAAUCAUACUACGUA